GCUUGCUUAAAAUUAGUCUAGAGAACAUUUGAGACCUGGAAACAGUUUAGAAGACGUACAAGAAGAAAUAAAACAUGAAGUGGAUGUCUGUGCUUGUUUUCCUGAUGGUCAUCCUUUGUCUACAAUCUGUCCUUGGUGUGAAGAACCACGAUAACAAGGCAGAAAAAAGCAGCAGGGAAAAAGUUUACAAGAUGAAGGGUGCUGACCGAGGAGAUGGAGGUCACCGACCAACCCAGCCAAUGAAAAGAGGCCUUUGGCUUUGGACGAAUAUUCCUACUACUUCCCCUCACAACGCAUUUGACAAAUAUGGCUAAUAUAUAUAGAUUUUCGUAAGUGACCAUGUCAAUGCAUAAUUUUUGCCAAGAAAUACAUGCAACAAUAGCAAAAAAGAAAAUGAUCUUUGUAGUUAACGUAAUACUCUGGAGAAUAUCUAGGCCUGUUAGUAUAUGUAAGGUUUACAAGGAUCAAUAAUUAAACGACUUGCAAUGAUA